rnacentral:rRNA from 1 species
GACGAACGCUGGCGGCGUGCCUAAUACAUGCAAGUAGAACGCAGUUGCGAACGGGUGAGUAACGCGUAGGUAACUGCCUCAUAGCGGGGGAUAACUAUUGGAAACGAUAGCUAAUACCGCAUACUGUGAGCUGGACCUGCGUUGUAUUAGCUAGUUGGUGAGGUAAAGGCUCACCAAGGCGACGAUUCAUAGCCGACCUGAGAGGGUGAACGGCGAAAAUGGGAAUGAGUAACGGCCCAGAAUACGUCGGGAGGCAGCAGUGGGGAAUCUUCGGAAAUGGACGGAAGUCUGACCGAGCAAAGCCGCGGUAGUGAAGAAGGUUUUCGGGUCGUAAAGCUCUGUUGAUCGAGAAGCGGUAGCUAACCAGAAAGGGACGGCUAACUACGUGCCAGCAGCCGCGGUAAUAC